rnacentral:rRNA from 1 species
GACGAACGCUGGCGGCGUGCUUAACACAUGCAAGUCGAGCGGAGAGGCGAACGGGUGAGUAACGCGUGAGUAACUGCCCCCCUCUCUGGGAUAACAGUUGGAAACGGCUGCUAAUACCGGAAAGGGGGGGAUGACUCGGGUCCUAUCAGCUUGAUGUGGGGGUAGUGGCCUACCAAGGGGACGACGGGUAGCCGGCCUGAGAGGGCGACCGGCCACAUUGGGCUGAGAUACGGCCCAAACUCCUACGGGAGGCAGCAGUGGUGAAUAUUGCACAAGGGGGGAAACCCUGAUGCAGCAACGCCGCGUGCGUGAUGACGGCCUUCGGGUUGUAAACCGCUUGCAGCCAUGACGCGGUAGUGGCAGAAGAAGCACGGGCUAACUACGUGCCAGCAGCCGCGGUAAUUC